rnacentral:rRNA from 1 species
UACGUAGGGUGCAAGCGUUAAUCGGAAUUACUGGGCGUAAAGCGUGCGCAGGCGGUUUUGUAAGUCUGUCGUGAAAUCCCCGGGCUUAACCUGGGAAUGGCGAUGGAGACUGCAAGGCUAGAAUCUGGCAGAGGGGGGUAGAAUUCCACGUGUAGCAGUGAAAUGCGUAGAGAUGUGGAGGAACACCGGUGGCGAAGGCAGCCCCCUGGGUCAAGAUUGACGCUCAUGCACGAAAGCGUGGGGAGCAAACAGG